ACAUGCAACAGAAGCCGAGCAAGGACGUACUCCGACCAGACUUGAACAUUGGGUUCCCAUCUCCAGGUUCGCCACCAGCUCGACAGUCGUCUGGCAUAAAUUUGGAAGCACAACAGCCAGACCUUGCGUUGCAGUUAUGAGAUGGGAAUUUGGAAGCACAACAGGCAGACCUUGCGUUGCAGUUAUGAGAUGGGAAUUUGGAAGCACAACAGCCAGACCUUGCGUUGCAGUUAUGAGAUGGGAACGGACUGAUUACAUGCGACUGGUAGGUUGUGUGUCAGAAACACUAAACGUCUAAAGGCAUGUGGAGCUCAGGUG
rnacentral:lncRNA from 1 species